UACGUAGGAGACAAACGUUAUCCGGAGUUACUGGGCGUAAAGGGCGUGUAGGUGGUUUCGUAAGUCUGGCGUGAAAUUUUUCGGCUUAACCGGGAAAGGUCGUCGGAUACUGCGGAGCUAGAGGACGGUAGAGGCGUGUGGAAUUCCGGGUGUAGUGGUGAAAUGCGUAGAGAUCCGGAGGAACACCAGUGGCGAAGGCGACACGCUGGGCCGUACCUGACACUGAUGCGCGACAGCAUGGGGAGCAAACAGG
rnacentral:rRNA from 1 species